UACGAAGGGGGCUAGCGUUGUUCGGAAUUACUGGGCGUAAAGCGCGUGUAGGCGGGGCGUUAAGUUGGGGGUGAAAGCCCAGAGCUCAACUCUGGAAUUGCCUUCGAUACUGGCGGCCUGGAGCAUGAUAGAGGCGAGUGGAAUUGCGAGUGUAGAGGUGAAAUUCGUAGAUAUUCGCAGGAACACCAGUGGCGAAGGCGACUCGCUGGAUCAUUGCUGACGCUGAGACGCGCAAGCGUGGGGAGCAAAUAGG
rnacentral:rRNA from 1 species